rnacentral:rRNA from 1 species
GAUGAACGCUGGCGGCGUGCCUAAUACAUGCAAGUCGAGCGAACAGACGAGGAGCUUGCUCCUCUGACGUUAGCGGCGGACGGGUGAGUAACACGUGGAUAACCUACCUAUAAGACUGGGAUAACUUCGGGAAACCGGAGCUAAUACCGGAUAAUAUAUUGAACCGCAUGGUUCAAUAGUGAAAGACGGUUUUGCUGUCACUUAUAGAUGGAUCCGCGCCGCAUUAGCUAGUUGGUAAGGUAACGGCUUACCAAGGCGACGAUGCGUAGCCGACCUGAGAGGGUGAUCGGCCACACUGGAACUGAGACACGGUCCAGACUCCUACGGGAGGCAGCAGUAGGGAAUCUUCCGCAAUGGGCGAAAGCCUGACGGAGCAACGCCGCGUGAGUGAUGAAGGUCUUCGUAUCGUAAAACUCUGUUAUUAGGGAAGAACAAAUGUGUAAGUAACUAUGCACGUCUUGACGGUACCUAAUCAGAAAGCCACGGCUAACUACGUG